GGCUGGUCUGAAGGUAGUAAGUUAUCUCGAUCGUUCAGUCACAGGUCUAACUGCUUAUUCUACUCUUUCCUCUCUUCUCACUACUGCAUUUGACUAAUCUUAA
ensembl:Y_RNA Y_RNA Y RNA